UUUGUUUUAGUCCACCCAUAGGAGAUGCAUUUCCUCCUAAGUUUGUUUUAGUCCACCCAUAGGAGAUGCAUUUCCUCCUAAGUUUGUUUUAGUUUCACCCAUAGGAGAUGCAUUUCCUCCUAAGUUUGUUUUAGUCCACCCAUAGGAGAUGCAUUUCCUCCUAGGUUUGUUUUAGUUUCACCCAUAGGAGAUGCAUUUCCUCCUAAGUUUGUUUUAGUCCACCCAUAGGAGAUGCAUUUCCUCCUAAGUUUGUUUUAGUUUCACCCAUAGGAGAUGCAUUUCCUCCUAAGUUU
rnacentral:lncRNA from 1 species